rnacentral:rRNA from 1 species
CGACGAAUCUUCCGCAAUGCACGAAAGUGUGACGGAGCAAUGCCGCGUGCGGGAUGAAGCGGCUUCGCCGUGUAAACCGCUGUCAGGGGCUAGAAAUACUGAUCAACCCCAAAGGAAGGGCCGGCUAACCUCGUGCCAGCAGCCGCGGUAAGACGAGGGGCCCGAGCGUUAAUCGGAAUCACUGGGCUUAAAGGGUGCGCAGGCGGAUGUGUAGGUGUCUUGUGAAAUCCCUCCGCUCAACGGAGGAACUGCAAGGCAAACCACAUGUCUUGAGGCAGGUAGGGGCCGUCGGAACGAUAGGUGGAGCGGUGAAAUGCGUAGAUAUCUAUCGGAACGCCAAAGGUGAAGACAGACGGCUGGGCCUGACCUGACGCUGAGGCACGAAAGCGUGGGGAGCAAACGGGAUUAGAUACCCCCGUAGUCC